GUUGGGAACUAGAUGUGGGGACCAUUCCACUGUCUCCGUGUCGCAGCUAACGCAUUAAGUUCCCCGCCUGGGGAGUACGGCCGCAAGGCUAAAACUCAAAGGAAUUGACGGGGGCCCGCACAAGCGGCGGAGCAUGCGGAUUAAUUCGAUGCAACGCGAAGAACCUUACCAAGGCUUGACAUAUACCUGAAAAGGCUGGAAACAGUCUCCCCGCAAGGCAGGUAUACAGGUGGUGCAUGGCUGUCGUCAG
rnacentral:rRNA from 1 species